UUUUUUUUUUUUUUUGUCUUUUUUUUAGGGCCACACCCACGGCAUAUGGAGGUUCCCAGCUCGGGGUUGAAUCAGACCUGCAGCUGCUGGCCUACAGCACAGCCACAGCCACGGCAGAUCCAAGCUGCAUCUGCAACCUACACCACAGCUCACGGCAACACUGGAUCCUUAACCCACUGAGAGGGGCCAGGGAUCAAACCCACAUCCUCUUGGAUACUAGUCGGGUUCUUAACUCACUAAGCCACACCGGGAACUCCCAGGAACUGCAUAUCUCCGGAUGCCAUGACUCAGCCUACCACAGAAGGUAAAUUCAGGAGGCUGGUUUGGGAUGUGCUGCCUUUGAAAUAUCUAUCAGUCAUUAGAGUAAACUGCUGGAUACCCAAGUGUGGCAUUCAGUAGAGAGCCUGGACCAGAAAUACUCAUUUUGGAGUCAGCCAGCAGAUAGAGAUUUGAAACUGUGAGACUGGCUUCAAAGCAUAGAUUUGAUUUCCCAACCUCCUGGGCUGUUCAGAGCAUAAACAUGUAACCAAAGCUCUGCCAACCGGAUGUACCACAUCCGGGUACAGCAGUGAGCACAGUGGAUUAAAAUGGCAGAUGCCCCCGAGUGCUCCCAGCCCUCAGCCACCGAGGAAAGGGAAGCUGGAAGUACACUUGGUAUUCCUGGAAGCCCUGACCCCAACUGACACUCAGGGGUUCUAUUACCAAAUGAAGAGGGGAAGAAGGAGUUCCCGUGUGGCUCAGGGGGUUAAGAACCUGACACUGCCUCUGCGAGGAUGCAGGUUCGUUCCCUGACCUCCUCGCUCAGUGGCUUAAGGAUCCACCUUUGCCACAAGCAGUGUAAGUCAUAGCUCGGAUCCUGCAUUGCUGUGGCUCUGCCAUAGGCCAGCAGCUGCAGCUCUGAUUUGACCCCUAGCCUGGGAACUUCCAUACGCUGCAGGUGCAGCCCUAAAGAAAAAAAAAAUGAAGGGAAGAAGAGCUGCAGGAGAGGAUGAGCAGCCUCCCUUUCUCCCUCUCUCCUCCUCACCCCUCCCAUCUGUCUAAUGAGCUAGUGAGAAAGAGAAACAAAAUCUUGUAUGUAACACACAGUGCAGUGUCUGCAUACAGAUGAUUCCAGCCCUGAUGAGUCCUCUGCUCCUUCUAGAUGGAAGAGCGGGCCCUACCGACACCUAGGGAGCACCUCCUAUGUGCAACUGGGAUGAGCCCCUCCAAGAGGACGCUGAUGCAAAUCUCCAAGUGCGUGAGGGAGACCAGUGGUGAGGCAGUCACCCCCUGGCCGGGAGGGAGGGGAAGUAGGUUGUGCACAGAGUCUGUGGAGCACAGAGGAGGGGUCCUCAUGGCCUCCGCAGAAUCAGGAAAGUCUUACAGACCAAGAGACAUCAGGAGCUGGGUCCUCGAGGGGACAUAGGCUUUUAGCAGAUAGGAAAGGAAGGGAAGGGAACUCAGGCAGCAUCGGAAAUCUUCCUGCCAACACAAAUCAAAGCAACAAUAAAGCCUCGUGGUUUACCCACCAGACUGAGUGAAAUUAGAUACAGAUGUAGGCUCAAGGACAGAAACUGAUACAGGUUCAGACACAGAUGCAGGUAAUACCCAGGGUUGGUGAUGCAGGGAAGAAGGGGCAGCCAGCACCCACCCUGGUGGAAGCUCACACUGGGGCAGCUUUUUUUUUUCUUUUUACAGCCUCACCCAUUGCAUAGGGAAGUUCCCAGGUGCGGCCCUAAAAAGACAGGAAAAAAAAAAAAAAAAAGAAAGAAAGAAAAAAGCCCACGGCAGAACAGGCUGUUUGGCAUGGCCGAUUUUUGUACAAAAACAAAGUGAAAUAAAUAGAUGAAAAUAAGACCAAACCAAAGGCAAACAGUUGAACAAACUUGCCUCUGUGUCUGGGAAUAUAUGCACAUGCGUGUGUCCCGGGAUGUAUGGGAGGAGAUAGACCAAAAUGUUGGAAUAAGUUACUUUGAAGAAAUGGGAGUAGAGGGAAAAGAAAUCAUCUUACUGUGGAUAACAGCUAAAUAUCGGAGACAAUCUAAGUGUCCACCUGUGGGCAAUGGGUUAAAUAAAUCAUGAUAUGUCCAUACAACAGAAUAUUACAGACAGUGAAACAGCACCAGGACACUAUUAUGUGAAAAAAGCCAGCUGCAGAAUCCUAUGUAUAUUAUCGUUUGUAUGAAUGGCAUCAGAAAAAUAUGCCUCUGUGUGUGUGUGUGUGUGUGUGUGUGUGUGGUAACAGACACAGAAUAUUCUAGAAGGAUACACAAGAACUAGAAACAGUAGACGCCCCUGGAUAAGAAAAUUGAGUCACUAGAAAGAGGAAGAAAAAAAAAAUCAUUUUCUCUACCCUUUUAUAACUCUGAGUUUCAUCCCAUGCACAUGUAUAAUCUUUUCCAAAAUUGUAAUAUGAUUUAAAAAUACACUAGGAUCGAGAAAUGUGAACCUCAGUGAGGGGAAACCUCCCUACUGAAAUGGAGUCAGGAGGCCAGAAGAGGGAGCUCUCCUGCAGGGCCACGCAUGUCAGCUGCAGGAAGAAUUGUCAUCACAGACCCCAACAGAAGAGUUAUCAACAGGAAGGAGUCACCAAUCACAGGAGUCACCAAUCACAGGCCACAAGAGGAAAGAUGCACAUUGCAUUCCAUCAGAAACUAGCGACCCAGCAACUCGGCUAAUGAGAAGCCAUCAUCACCCAGAACUCCCACUUUUCUCUGAUGGCCUUGCAUUCAAAAUACCCCUUCCCUGGAGUUCCUGUCGUGGCUCAGUGGUUAGCAAACCUGACUGGCAUCCAUGAGGACACGGGUUUGGUUCCUGGCCUUGCUCAGUGGGUUAAGGAUCCGGCGUUGCCAUGAGCUGUGCUGUAGGUCACAGACAUGGCUCGUAUGUGGUGUUGCUUUGGCUGUGGCCUUGGAAGUCGGCGACGGCUCCAAUUGGACCCCUAGCCCAGGAACCUCCAUAUGCCAUGGGUUGCGGCCCUAAAAGACAAAAAAAAAAA
rnacentral:lncRNA from 1 species